rnacentral:rRNA from 1 species
GACGAACGCUGGCGGCGUGCUUAACACAUGCAAGUCGAACGGAAAGGCCCUGCUUGCCGGGUACUCGAGUGGCGAACGGGUGAGUAACACGUGGGUGAUCUGCCCUGCACUUCGGGAUAAGCCUGGGAAACUGGGUCUAAUACCGGAUAGGAGCCAUUUUUAGUGUGAUGGUUGGAAAGUUUUUUCGGUGUAGGAUGAGCUCGCGGCCUAUCAGCUUGUUGGUGGGGUAAUGGCCUACCAAGGCGGCGACGGGUAGCCGGCCUGGGAGGGUGGACGGCCACAUUGGGACUGAGAUACGGCCCAGACUCCUACGGGAGGCAGCAGUGGGGAAUAUUGCACAAUGGGCGCAAGCCUGAUGCAGCGACGCCGCGUGGGGGAUGACGGCCUUCGGGUUGUAAACUCCUUUCGCUAGGGACGAAGCUUUUUGUGACGGUACCUAGAUAAGAAGCACCGGCUAACUACGUG